UUCAGCCCGGACGGAUCAGUGGAGCUCCUCCUCACGCCAGCCACCAGCUAACAGCUCCAACGUACCAGCUAUUCGUUGUGUGCCAACAAUGUAAAUAUUUAUAAAAGCCAGCAAUCUGCCUCAUCAUGAAACGAGGAAAAAUUAAAGAACAUUAAAAAAAGAGCAAACCAAAAACAACACGCUAGUGGUGACUGUUGUUGUUGCUGAAUAGUGUUGAAAGGUCAGGUGCUGAUAAGUCGUGAACACUCAGAAUAACAAGACGAGAAAAACAACAACUAAAGCAACAACAACAACAACGACAGUAGCUAUGCGAAACAAACAACCAACAAUGAUCGCGUCAAAUGUAUGAAUGUUUACAAUAACGCCAACAACACUUUUGCAUUCAUUCAGCCUAUCGCUCGCUAAAGCGAGUAAACACACAUGUGCGCCGGGCGGUGAUCAGUUAAGGAGCGCUGUGCCGCCGCCCGUCUAGGGGCAAAGAAAGGCAGAGGCGAGUGCGUGGUAUGGUGUGCGGUGUGGUGUGGUGUGGCGUGGCAAGGCUUGGCUAUUUGUUUAAAUAAACAUACGGAGCACGUACGUACGCGCCGGUUUCUGGUGAUUAAGUCAAAAUUUUUCGAAGAAGUCUGACCAAAACGGAAUUUACACUAGAAUAAGCUUCAAAAAAGUAUAAUCUCGAAAUUAUCAAAUCUCUUUGAUGGACAACUUAGUUGUUGGAAAAGCAGAUGAAGAACACGACUACGAAUAAAUUUUUCUUUGUCGGAAAAGGAGACGAAUUCACCUGAAGCAGAGCGUUUUGUUGGUAUUUCAAGCAAAUCUUAAAGCAAAGCAUUAAUCCAGGAUCUACUGUGAAAAUACAAUUGCAUAGCCUCCGAUCGGCCAAGCUCUUUUUGAGACACUUCAAUUGCUGUAAGAGCAGACGAAAUCACUGAAAGAGAUGCGUAAAUAAUUUGGAGGCCUGCGAACGAAAACGCAACGGCAAGCAGAACUCUGGAACAGGAACUCAGUACUAAAAUGCGGUUACCAUUGUCAGUGCCAACUAAGCAACGAAAUGGGUGAAGAUGUAUACUGCGUGAAGGGGUAUAAAAUAGAACUUUGAAUGCUGCAAUAAUAACGUAAGCGGUAUCGAAUUUCCGGAUAUAAGUUGCUACAAAUAUUAUAUUUUUUGCUAAAAAUUAUUUUUCAAACAUUCAACUCUUAAGCACAGUAUCUAGCUCUCAAGAAAACCUACAAAGUGAUAUGAAAAAAAAAUGCUCAAGAAAUGGGAAAACAAAUCUUAAGUGAAUGAGCUUGCAGUUCUUAAAAAAAAGUCUUCGUAGAUAUAUUUAUUUUUUCAAGAAAAUUUAAAACGGAAAUAAUAAAAACAAUUUCCUGUAAUUUUUCUUGACGGCUGGAAACUUAGCUUUAUAAGAACGCAACAACAAACGAAAGAAAAAAACAAAUUAGAUUUAACAAACGUUUCAUUGCAUGAGAACAUUAUUUACUUAAUUGAAAAAAUGUACUUUUAGCAAUUAAAUUAAGUAUUUAUACAUUAAACCCACCCUUCAUAGUUUUAACUUUAAAAUUUAAUAGUUACAUAUACAUAGAUAUGUAUGUAUCUUUAUUUUAUCGUAUUUUCUGGCAUACUCUACCUUCUAAACUAGCCCGGGAGAUGAACCAUUUAACAUUUAUUACUGUACAUUUGCUUAUCUUACCACUGGUUUUUAUAAAAAGCAUUACAAGCCAGUAUUUGAGGCAGUUGUUUAAGGAAUUAGGUAUUUUGUAAACGCUUCCUGUUGAUCCUCUGUCUAAAACGCCGUUAAUUUAGGCAUGGCGCCGAAUUAUUCGAUUUUAGGAAGGAGCUAUAACUUUUUCUUAUUAAUUCCUAUGCUUGAAGAAAUUUGUUUUUUAAAGUUUGCUAUAACAAACAUAUUAACAAAUGCAAAUGUAAUGUUAAAACAUUUCCUUAACAGCUUACAACAAAAAAAAAAAACAAUUAAUAAAAAAAGGGAAGAAUGGCGUGAAUUACACGUGCGUUAUACUUCACUAAUCAUUUCAACCGUUGAUGCUACAACCGAGCUUGUAGCAAUCCUUUUGAGAUUUGUAAUCUCCAAUAAAAUUACACACCUACAAUCUAUUUAGUGGAGCAAACAUAUUGAAAUUGACUGAAAAAAUAUUUUCUUUUCAAUAGCAUCUUCACGUAAAACUUUAAUUAAUCGCAUGACGAACGACUUGUUUCCUUCGAAGUUUAGCAGCUUCAAAGAGACUGGUUGGCUUUUGGGAAGCCUGAACUCAAACAAGCGCUUUGUGUCAUUUUUUUUUACUUAUCCAAUGAAUUAUUUCAAUUCCAAUUUUUUGGAAAAAAACAAGAAGAAUAAGCAUUGAGUACACAUAUAGCAAAAAUAGGGUUGGCUACAAUUACGCGGUGCAGUGCCGCUGAUUUGACAAAAAAAAA